rnacentral:rRNA from 1 species
UGGUUAACAGAGGGAGGCAAUACCGCGAGGUGGAGCAAACCCCUAAAAGCCAUCCCAGUUCGGAUUGCAGGCUGCAACCCGCCUGUAUGAAGUUGGAAUCGCUAGUAAUCGCGGAUCAGCAUGCCGCGGUGAAUACGUUCCCGGGCCUUGUACACACCGCCCGUCACACCAUGAGAGUCGGGAACACCCGAAGUCCGCAGCCUAACCGCGAAGGGGGCGCGGCCGAAGGUGGGUUCGAUAAUUGGGGUGAAGUCGUAACAAGGUAGC